AAAAUGCAGAAAAAUCCAUGUUUCUGGAGCUGUGGCGCGUGAGGGAGCUUCGCUGAUCAAAGGAGAACAGAGGAGCAGCACGUUUGGAUGAUUAUGAGACUUUAUGUACUGCAGAUAAUGAAUUAAACCCCCUCUAAUCAUCAUAUAUUUUAAAUGUAACAAACCAGAGGAAGAGGACAGCAGCUUUGCUGUAUCAGUCGUAGUAAACACAGGAACAUCCUUCAUGAACGUGUGCCAGAGAAGCUUGCAAGGCAAGAUGAGGGAAAAAAUUAAAGCCCAGUGUCAGUGAAGAUGGUGUGAUCAGGAAAUCUGGUAUUUAUGGCUGAAGGAACAUCUACCAGUAAUCUACUACGACAUUGCCCUGAUGUUGAGGAAUUUUUUUUUUCUUUGGAACAUUUCCGUUCACAGAGACUGUGGAGAGAUUGGAGAGUUUACUGCCGAUGGAGAGCUUCUGGGACACUGACAAACAGCACUUCCCAACAAGUUAAUUUGGAGUUCUUUUUUAUUAUUUAUUUAGUCAAACUUGCAUUCACUAAUGCUGGAGUAAGAUUUUAGAAGAAAACUUUCGGUCCUGUUUAAUGUUGGUGCUAGUAAAGGUUUGAGAAUUUAUGGCCUGGUUUCACAGACAGGGCUUAGACUAAGCCAGGAUCAUAGUUCAAUAAGGACAUUUAAGUCAGUUUCAUUAACAUGCCUUAGAAAAAAACAUUACUGGUGUGCAUCUUGAGAUAAAACAAAGGCACAGAUAUUUUUAAAGAUCAGUCUGUGCAAGUUUCUUUCAGUUGAAACAGCUCAGAAUUAUAUUUAAUUCAAUUCAAAUGAGCUUCAUUGGCAUGACUUGCACAGUAUUGCCAAAGCAUAAUUAUAGAAUUACAUUUUAGUCCGGGGCUGGUCUUAAGCCUUGUCUGUGAAACCCGGGCUACCAUUAACACACUUUGGCAAUGUUUUACAAUAAGGUCUCAUUUGCUCUACAUGGAAUGAUAAUUUUCUUGAUUUUUUUUUUAUUUUAUUUUAUUUGUAUUAAGUUUGUGUGUUAGUAAUCCUAUACGUUAUCGGGGCCAAAUGACUCCACAAGGAUAGUAAUACCAGUAAAUUGUAUUGACUUUGUGGACAUUGAGGAAACAGGCUUAUAGAUCAUACAGAAUUAUGUUUUCUGUGAUGGUGAGAUUAGGUACUUUGGUAUGCAAGUAUGUAAGUGAUUUUGCAUUGUUCUCCAGACUCUUUCUAAUAAGUGAGUUAAAGUGUUGCAACUGUGUAUAGUGUUGGAUUUUUCUUGUGCAUCAGCAAAAAGCCUUUUUGUGUAUUUGUUUUAUUGAUUGUUUUGUCAAUAAAUGUAGAGGGUUUUCAAUUUUGUGUUUGUGU
ensembl:lncRNA